AGGUGUGACAGUGACCUGGCUGGAGCCUCUCUUCCCCACUGAUAACCAAGGUUUAGUCAGUUGUUCUAUCAGUUUCUCCUUCCUCUCUUAGCAUCCCAGGAAGGUCCCUCCUGAAGUUGCACUCGCAGUAGAAAAGGGUUAAUCUUCUCAGAUAAAGGGGGCUGUUUCUUGGUAAGGAUAGGGGAACAGUGGUUUUGCUCCUUGACACAACAAGGCUUAUCAGAGAAGCAUCUCCAGGAAUCUCUGACUCAUUGCUCCAUCUGAAGUGGCUUCCCUUGCCCCUCCCA
ensembl:misc_RNA 7SK 7SK RNA